AUUGAACGCUGGCGGCAGGCCUAACACAUGCAAGUCGAGCGGUAGAGGGGAGCUUGCUUCCCUUGAGAGCGGCGGACGGGUGAGUAAUGCCUAGGAAUCUGCCUAGUAGUGGGGGAUAACGUUCGGAAACGGACGCUAAUACCGCAUACGUCCUACGGGAGAAAGUGGGGGAUCUUCGGACCUCACGCUAUUAGAUGAGCCUAGGUCGGAUUAGCUAGUUGGUGAGGUAAUGGCUCACCAAGGCUACGAUCCGUAACUGGUCUGAGAGGAUGAUCAGUCACACUGGAACUGAGACACGGUCCAGACUCCUACGGGAGGCAGCAGUGGGGAAUAUUGGACAAUGGGCGCAAGCCUGAUCCAGCCAUGCCGCGUGUGUGAAGAAGGUCUUCGGAUUGUAAAGCACUUUAAGUUGGGAGGAAGGGUUG
rnacentral:rRNA from 1 species